ensembl:lncRNA
UAAUAUUGAAGUGGUCCUCUGCAGUCAAACCUGAGGCUACUUAUGUAUUGACUGCCUGUAUCAGCACACAGCUUGUCACAAAAGCAAGACCUUAUGAUGAAAACAGUGGAUCAUUUCUGCUGCCUUUUCUCCAGUAAGACUGCCAUUUGCUUUCAAUAAAAGACUGCCUGAGUAAAGACAAUAGAAGAAGGUCCCAUAUUUGAAAAACAAGAGCAAACGCAAGUAAAUAGGAACCAGGAAUAAAGGAGAAAGACCCAAAAAACAAAACAAAUAGCAACAACAACAACAACAAAAACAGAACAAGAAGAGCAGGGGGAAAUAAACAGUUUAAUGAGACUGGGAGUGUGGAGAUUAUGUCAGUUUUCAUGCUAGUUUUAAAGUCAAAUUAAGAAGAAAACAAUAACUUUUAUGUGAAAUAUAUGUAUACGGGUAGAUGCAAUUUGGCAUAUCGCGCUUUCCUCAGUACACAUAGGGGUUAUCAGCCUUGUUUGGGUUUAGAAGGCCUACAGAGAUGCUCCUCAGUGUGAAGUGCUUGAAUAAAUCACAUUAUCUUAUUUACUAGGCUGCAUUUUCUCCUCUAUUUUGUCUUAGAGGCUGAGUUUGUGUGCCUCACACUUAGCUUCACCAUACCUCUGCUCUAAAACAGUAACUUCUGAAGACGGUUUCCAUUUAUUUCUAGAGUUGCAGGGAAUAUUCAUGGCAUGAGUGGGCAGAACUUUGAUUCUGCUGCAUGUCUCCUUUGGAAAUUGAUGGAUCAUUCUGGAAAGCACGCUCUGCUCCCCACAUUGAAGCAACCCCAUUUUCCCCUCUCCGGCUGAGAUCAGAGCUGGAUGGGGAGAGAGAAACAGACCUUUGCAGAAGUGCAGUGUUUUGUCUGUCUUGAGCUCUGAGCCUGUGCAGUGUCAAUCAAAGAAGCAGGAUGUGUCCGUAAAUUCCCUCCUGGAACUGCAUUUGUUCUGUCUUGUUCUAUCCAAAUUCUUGCUUGGCACCCAUUAACUUGAUUCUGAGUGGCUCUGUGGUAAAUGAAACACUUUGCAUUUCCAGCUUGGGACAUUGGGAAAAAAUACACAGGUUUCUACUUAGGAAAACAUUAACCUUGCACACGAAGGAAGGACAUUCCAAGCAGUGCUUUCACAGUAUCCUCAGGCAGAGAAC